UACGUAGGGUGCAAGCGUUGUCCGGAAUUAUUGGGCGUAAGAGCUCGUAGGCGGUUUGUCGCGUCUGCUGUGAAAACCCGAGGCUCAACCUCGGGCCUGCAGUGGGUACGGGCAGACUAGAGUGCGGUAGGGGAGAAUGGAAUUCCUGGUGUAGCGGUGGAAUGCGCAGAUAUCAGGAGGAACACCGAUGGCGAAGGCAGUUCUCUGGGCCGUAACUGACGCUGAGGAGCGAAAGCGUGGGGAGCGAACAGG
rnacentral:rRNA from 1 species